rnacentral:rRNA from 1 species
AGAAUCAACGCUGGCGGCGUGCCUAACACAUGCAAGUCGCACGAGAAAGGGGAGCAAUCCCUGAGUAAAGUGGCGCACGGGUGAGUAACACGUGAAUAAUCUACCUCCGAGUGGGGAAUAACUGAGAGAAAUCUUAGCUAAUACCGCAUAACACUUACGAGUCAAAGCAGCAAUGCGCUUGGAGAGGAGUUCGCGGCCGAUUAGUUAGUUGGCGGGGUAAUGGCACACCAAGACGAUGAUCGGUA